rnacentral:tRNA from 1 species
AAUUUAUUAAAUAGUAUAUACUUUUACAUUGUUAACUUAUAAAAUAAAUUA